AACCUCGCAGCAACUACCUUGGAUUUUUUUCAGGAAGCAGUAGAGACAUUUGGCUUUCCUCUCAGGGUACGAGGUGAUCAGGGGGUUGAGAAUGUGGAUGUGGCUCGCCUUAUGUUUACCGUUCGUGGAACUGGAAAGGGCAGCUUCAUUUCUGGAAAGAGCAUACACAAUCAGCGUAUUGAGAGGCUGUGGAGAGACGUCUGGACAUCAGUAACAAAUGUUUACUAUGAUGUUUUACAUGGUUUGGAAGAAGGUGGCUACCUUGACAUUUCUGACCAUACUCACCUCUUCUGCUGCCACUAUGUAUUUCUUCCACGGCUUCAAGAUGAUCUUAAUCUUUUUCGAAACACUUGGGAUAAUCACACAAUACGCACAGAGGGUUGUAUGACUCCUAACCAGUUGUGGGUGAUGGGAAGCAUACGCAGUCCUGUACAAGAAUCUGACAUAGAGGGAUUGAGAAUACCCCACAUUGACUGGGAAAGUAGUGGCCUGUGUGUUGAUGGACACUCCAGCAUUGUUGUGCCUCCGACAGGAUGUCCCCUGACUGAGGAGCAACUGGUACUGCUCCAAGAAACUAUACAUCCCAAAAGACCUUCACAGACCUUUGGCUGGGACAUAUAUUUAGCUGCACUUGAUUUUUGCCAA
ensembl:processed_transcript